GGGGGUAGAGCUCAGUGGUAGAGCCCUUGUCUAGCAUACAAGAGGCCCUGGGUUCUACCCCCAGCUCCA
rnacentral:tRNA from 1 species